rnacentral:rRNA from 1 species
AACGAACGCUGGCGGCAGGCCUAACACAUGCAAGUCGAGCGAGGACUUCGGUUCUAGCGGCGGACGGGUGAGUAACGCGUGGGAAUGUGCCCUUCUCUACGGAAUAGCCCUGGGAAACUGGGAGUAAUACCGUAUACGCCCUAUUGGGGAAAGAUUUAUCGGAGAAGGAUCAGCCCGCGUUGGAUUAGGUAGUUGGUGGGGUAAUGGCCUACCAAGCCGACGAUCCAUAGCUGGUUUGAGAGGAUGAUCAGCCACACUGGGACUGAGACACGGCCCAGACUCCUACGGGAGGCAGCAGUGGGGAAUCUUAGACAAUGGGGGUAACCCUGAUCUAGCCAUGCCGCGUGAGUGAUGAAGGCCUUAGGGUUGUAAAGCUCUUUCAGCUGGGAAGAUAAUGACGGUACCAGCAGAAGAAGCCCCGGCUAACUCCGUG